GGAAAUAACCUGUUCCGGCACUUCUGGGUUCGUAACCCAUGAUGUACGCAACCCACACCGAAUGUAACUAGAGAUCUCAUGUUUGCCCGGAAUGUUUCAUUCACGACUGUGGAGCACUGAGAAUUCACACUUCUCAUUCAAGUUUAGGCCAGGCUGCUGGAAACAUUUCAAAACUGCAUGCAGCCAACCAUGGUGUUCGUCAUUACUGGCAGCUCCCCAGACGCAAUCUCAGAGAUAGGAAAAGACUGAACAUUGUGGCCUUCCCUCACACUCCUUGCCCACAGGCCGCAAACGCCACAGGUCCUGGCACAGCACAGACCACCCAGUAAUUGGAAGAGAGGUGGGUGGGCAGGUUGCCCGAAGCCUCCCCCACCUCGGAAGCUUUGCCGUCAUCCUCGUGGCUUUGGCACUGGGCUGAGCAGCCUCGACCUCCCUGCUCACUUGUAGGGCUGCUUGGGGAGGGAAUCUAAUGGAAGAAGAAGAAGAAGAAGAAGAAGAAGAAGAAGAAGAAGAAGAAGAAGAAGAAGAAGAAGAAGAAGAAGAAGAAGAAGAAGAAGAAGAAGAAGAAGAAGAAGAAGAAGAAGAAGAGUUUGGCUUUGUUAUCCCGCUUUAUCACUACCCGAAGGAGUCUCAAAGCAGCUAACAAUCUCCUUUUCCCUUCCUCCCCCACAACAAACAUUCUGUGAGGUGAGUGGGGC